UACGGAGGGGGCUAGCGUUGUUCGGAAUUACUGGGCGUAAAGCGCACGUAGGCGGCUUUGUAAGUUAGAGGUGAAAGCCCGGGGCUCAACCCCGGAAUAGCCUUUAAGACUGCAUCGCUUGAACACGGGAGAGGUGAGUGGAAUUCCGAGUGUAGAGGUGAAAUUCGUAGAUAUUCGGAGGAACACCAGUGGCGAAGGCGGCUCACUGGGCCGGUACUGACGCUGAGGUGCGAAAGCGUGGGGAGCAAACAGG
rnacentral:rRNA from 1 species